UGACAAACAAUAGGUAAACUUUCUCAUUGCACAGUGGGAACUCUAUUAGAAGCAAGAUGGCACAGAACUUCGUAACAAGAGGAUUUUGUUUAACAUUUGUGACUUUAUUAUUGGCAACAUUUUUCACAGCGACAAAAGCAAACUGGUAUGGAAAAAGAGGUGAGAAGGUGGACAACAGUCUAUAUUCAUUGUUACAAGGUACCCUACCAGAUAUAAUGGACAGACAGUUAGACGCACAGAUGACCCUUAGAGCAAUUGGUAAACUGAUACAAGAUUAUGAACUAAGACAACUACAAAGUGUUGAGGCUAAAGGAGGGGCAAAAUAACGUCAACUUAUGCUUGAUGUUUUUCAACCUAGCGGCAGGAUGACGUAGUGAUGUGAUCAAUAUCUACGGGAAAUGAUAGACAAAACUUAUUAACUAUAAAAUAACGAGAAUAUUGACAGCCAUAUUUGUUUUGUGUUGAAUCAAAUUUGAAAUGUUAAAAACAGCGAACACUUGAGCAAUAUUGACUUAUUGACAUUUUCUGAUUAUUCUGUUGCCUGUCACACUAAAUUUCUUCCUGUAAACAUUAUAAAAAUAUUUAAAAAACAAAAAAGAAACAAACAAACAUUUUUACAUUGUUAACACAAGUGUUAAUUUAAGAUACUUAAACUCUAUAAUUUUAGGCACAGAUGAUAUUUCAUUAUUGUGACUCUCCUGCAUAUCAUUUUAUCUUGUAACAUUGCCGAAAAUAAAUAUAUGUAUGAUUUUAUUUAAAAUAAAUUAAGCACAAAUAUU